UAUUCCGGCUUCACAUGGGGAUGGUGUGACCAUCUCACCGGAUGGUGGUGAGGUUGCCGUGAGGAGGCGCUGGCAGAGCUCUUCCCAGCGAGUGCUUGGGACUCUUCAGCCGUGCACAGUAGCUGCCCCCACUUCAGGAAGACAAAGGGGCCAGCUGUUCAGCAGUUAGCGUGUCGUCCACCAGGAAGUCAUUUUCUGUGGUGUUUGAGUUAAAAUGCACACAUUCAAACAAGACCUGGUUUGAUCCUCACAGUCAUUCCAGGGUCGGGGAGGGGUCACCCCAAUUUUAUGGUGAGGCAGCUGAGGCCCGAGCAGUGAGCCUGUGUCUGGGACCCUCGGGGUCCCCACACGUGGAGACCAGUCCCUCAGGCAGCCCAGGGGUGGACAGAGCUGGGGCUGCCUGUCCCCAGUGGGGUUUUCUCAAGGGCAGGAGCAGAGACUUUCUCCUGCCUGCGUCCAGGCCACACCUGAGGCCCUGGGAAGGCCCUGGGGCUGCCCGUCAAUCCUGGGCAUUGUGCCUCCAGGAGAAGGCUGGAAGGGCACCUGGGCACUUGGGGUGUCCUUGUGCCUGAGCCCUGCUCCCGCCUAUCUCAGAUGGAGAACUGCACCCAGCCGGCCGUUGUCACCAAGGACUUCUGCAUGGUCUUCUAUUCCCGUGACGCCAAGCUGCCAGCCUCGCGCUCCAUCCGCAACCUUUUUGGCAGUGGGAGCCUUCGGGCCUCGGAGAGUAACCGUGUGACUGGUGUGUACGAGCUCAGCCUGUGCCACGUGGCUGACGCGGGCAGCCCAGGGAUGCAGCGCCGGCGCCGACGAGUCCUGGACACAUCUGUGGCCUAUGUCCGGGGCGAGGAGAACCUGGCAGGCUGGAGGCCCCGGAGCGACAGUCUCAUUCUGGACCACCAGUGGGAGCUAGAGAAGCUGAGCCUCCUGCAGGAGGUGGAGAAGACCAGGCACUACCUGCUCCUGCGGGAGAAGCUGGAGACCGCCCAGCGGCCUGUCCCAGAGGCACUGUCCCCGGCCUUCAGCGAGGACUCUGAGUCCCAUGGCUCCUCCAGCGCCUCCUCCCCGCUCUCGGCUGAGGGCCACCCAUCACCCCUGGAGGCUCCCAACGAGAGGCAGCGGGAGCUGGCCGUCAAGUGCUUGCGCCUGCUCAUGCACACAUUCAACAGAGAGUACACACACAGCCACGUCUGCGUCAGUGCCAGCGAGAGCAAGCUCUCCGAGAUGUCUGUCACCCUGCUCCGGGACCCGUCGAUGUCCCCUCUAGGGGCGGCCACUCUCACCCCCUCCUCCACUUGCCCCUCUCUGGUUGAAGGGCGGUACGGUGCCACUGACCUGAGGACCCCGCAGCCCUGCUCCCGGCCAGCCAGCCCAGAGCCUGAGCUGCUGCCAGAGGCCGACUCCAAGAAGCUCCCUUCCCCUGCCCGGGCAACAGAGACAGACAAGGAGCCCCAGCGCCUGCUGGUCCCUGACAUCCAGGAGAUCCGAGUCAGCCCGAUCGUCUCCAAGAAGGGGUACCUGCACUUCCUGGAGCCGCACACGUCGGGCUGGGCCAGGCGCUUCGUGGUGGUGCGGCGCCCCUAUGCCUACAUGUACAACAGCGACAAGGACACCGUGGAGCGGUUCGUGCUGAACCUGGCCACUGCCCAGGUGGAGUACAGCGAGGACCAGCAGGCUAUGCUCAAGACACCCAACACAUUCGCAGUGUGCACGGAACACCGCGGCAUCCUGCUGCAGGCUGCCAGCGACAAGGACAUGCAUGACUGGCUGUACGCCUUCAACCCCCUCCUGGCCGGGACCAUACGGUCCAAGCUCUCCAGAAGGAGGUCUGCCCAGAUGCGGGUCUGAACCUGAGCCCUCCCGUGACAGCCGGCAGGCCCAGCCCAUCCCCACCCUCAUCCUCGUCUGUCCUGUCACCUGCCGCCCAGCUCCUCUCCUGCCAGACAGCCCACGACCGGGUCGACCCCCCAGGGGACGCCCUUUCCAGGCCCGGGGACCUGUGCCACACGACCAGCUGUGCUCCCAGCAGAGGCUGCGCGUGUCAGUUCUUGCAGAAUGUGCUCUGGUGGAACAAGCUGGGAGAGGCUGGGGGGGCCAAGGGCGCAGGUUACGGGGGUUCUUGCUGCCGUUCUAAUAUUUUUUUAAGCAUAGACAGACUUAUAAUUAAUAUACGUUAGUUAGUGACAUUG
rnacentral:sRNA from 1 species